rnacentral:rRNA from 1 species
CAGCAGCCACGGGAAUACGAAGGGUGCAAGCGUUACUCGGAAUUACUGGGCGUAAAGCGUGCGUAGGUGGUGGUUUAAGUCCGUUGUGAAAGCCCUGGGCUCAACCUGGGAAUUGCAGUGGAUACUGGGUCACUAGAGUGUGGUAGAGGAUAGUGGAAUUUCCGGUGUAGCAGUGAAAUGCGUAGAGAUCGGAAGGAACAUCUGUGGCGAAGGCGACUAUCUGGGCCAACACUGACACUGAGGCACGAAAGCGUGGGGAGCAAACAGGAUUAGAUACCCCAGUAGUCCCUGUCUCUUAUAA